AUGGAUGACAACGGCAAAUCUGCUCAUAUCAUCCGUGAACUCGAGGAUAAACAUCUUCAGUCAGUUGUUAGCCUGACAGCUUGGUGGAAGGAGAGUCGUGUGGAGGGUAGGGAACUCAGUGUCGCAACAGGUUCUAUCAUUCAUUCAUCUAAGAUCAUGUUAGUUCUCGGCUGUGCUCACAUUUUCCAAAGUUUCAUCACGUGCUAUGGUCCUGGAUUCGAUACUGCCCUCAUCCUAAAUGGCAAUAUAACCAUUAGACUGAACUUCUUUGAUGGGCAUUCGGCUGAAGGAAGAGUUUAUUGCAUUGAUUGGUGGAAGGACUUAUGUCUUGUACUUGUUCCUGUCCCCAAUAAAUUAUAUGAAUCUGUAAAAUUCAUUGAAGAUGAGAACAUGAUGGGCCAGUCUGUAUACACAAGGGGAGAAAGGGUGUUCUCCAUUUUCUGCUUGCCAACACAUGAGAAAGAUGGCAAACUUUUGUUUGGCACUAUCGCAGAGGGCGAAAUCUCUGGCCUCCCCAUAACUGCCAAUGAUUUCACCUGGAGGUACCAUUCAGACUUGGAGUUUUUCGAGUUUGCCAUGUCGGCGGAAGGGGGAGCUUCCGGGGGACCUAUAUUCACGAAGAAGAUGCUAGUAAUGGGGAUUUUGCUUGGUGGAUAUGAUGGGAUGAAGUUUGCUGUUAGAAUUGACCAGAUUAGGCGUUGGAUUCUUGAUUGCUUUAAUAUCAAAGGGACGAAGAAUAUGAAUGAAACUGUAGCUAAAUUAUCUGCAGACUUGUCAGCGCGUUGGACAAAGAAAGCAGAGUCUAAGGUUUCUUCACGGAGGGGACUUGCCUGA
rnacentral:rRNA from 1 species